AUUGGGAGGCUGAGCCUAACCGGAGGCAGGCUUACUUCCCUGCGUCGACAUCAAAGCCGCAAAUCCGGGGUUGCCGGUCCGUGCUGCCGCGUUCGCUGGUUCGAGCAGUGAGCACAACUGCGGAGUGCUGAGGCCUUCUUCGCUUUGCCGGCGAAGCCAUUGUAAGGAUCUUGGAGGAAAUGGUGCAAGCGAAGCACCAAAAGUCCAGACCAAAGAAACAGCCCCCCAUUAAAAAGCGUGGAAAGCAGGCUGACAUUUCUGGCUUCCGUGAGCAGCUUGAUGCAUUGGGCCUACAAAUUAUUCAAGUGACUGCGGAUGGUAAUUGUUUCUUCAGGGCCCUAGCAGAUCAGUUGGAAGGCAAUGAGGAGGAACAUGAAAAGUUUCGAAGUAUGGUGGUCCAAUAUAUUUUGAAGAAUCGUGAAAUGUUUGAGCCAUUUAUUGAGGAUGAUGUCCCAUUUGAUGAAUACUGCCAGUCCAUGGAAAAGGAUGGCACAUGGGCUGGGCACAUGGAAUUGCAAGCGGCUUCUCUUGUUACGCAUAGUAAUAUAUGUGUUCACCGAAACAUGUCACCUCGUUGGUACAUUCGGAAUUUCAGUGAUCGUGCAACUCGGAUGGUCCAUUUAUCUUAUCAUGAUGAGGAGCAUUACAAUAGUGUGCGUUUAAAGGAAGAUCCUUGCAAUGGAACAGCUAGGCCAAUCAUAAUCAAGGCUGAUGCUGAUAUUUCGGCAGCAUCUCAUCAAUCAAAAGUUACAGCCAGAAAGUCUGAAGAGGGAGCUGGUAGAAACAUCAUCCCUGCAGGAUCCAUCAAAUUGGUCAUGGCGGGAAGUGCAUGUGAAAGUGCUGAGAAAGCUGAAGAGGUUUUGCUGCAACUAGAUGGAGAUGUUGAUGCUGCGAUAGAGUUUUUAAUAGCUGCACAAGCAACCGAAGAUUAUUUAGUUGACAAACCUGAACUUCCUUGUCAAACAGAUACAGCUUAUGGUAAUGUUGACAGCGAAAGUGGAAAUUGUAAGCAACAAAAAGAGGAAGUUGAAAAUGAUAAGUACAAGCAGGAUUGUCCUAGUAACAGUACUAUACAAAAUUCUGAUGAUUGCAGUUCCGGACAAGAUAACAAGAAAAUCCCAAGAAAUAAGAUCUGCCCAUGUGGGUCAAAAAAGAAAUACCAGGCUUGUUGUGGAUCGGCUGCAGGGGAAUCCUCUACAAAUUCGAAGGCCAAGGGAGUGGGUUUUUGAACAAGACGGUGUGGAUCUUUCGAAUUACAAAUUUGAAGAUUGAUAGAAGUUGGAUAUAUAUAGAUUCAAGGGAUCUUAGUGUAUUCUUGAAUUAGGUGGCCGCGAUCUACUGGAUGAAAAAUUUAGCAAUUUAUCAGAAGAUGGACUUAUAUUCGAUCUUUGUGGGGGCAAGCUUGAUCACAGAUGAUGGAUAUUCAAGCAGAAAAUGGAUUGUAGAGACAUACAAAUGACUCUGCUAAGGGUAAGAAAAGAAAACAAGGAAAGAAAGGUGGACCUGCUAAAGUUGCACCUUCCUAUGGAUCUGAUGGAGGGCCACCUGACAUGGGUGCACUUUGUAUUUGAUGAUGC